rnacentral:rRNA from 1 species
CUGACCGUAAACGAUGCCAACUAGCGAUCCGCCGGUGGUAAUUACGCCCCGGCGGGGAGCUUCCCGGAAACGAAAGUCUUCCGGUUCCGGGGGAAGUAUGGUUGCAAAGCUGAAACUUAAAGGAAUUGACGGAAGGGCACCACCAGGAGUGGAGCUUGCGGCUUAAUUUGACUCAACACGGGGAAACUCACCCGGCCCGGACACCGUAAGGAUUGACAGAUUGAGAGCUCUUUCUUGAUUCGGUGGUUGGUGGUGCAUGGCCGUUCUUAGUUGGUGGAGCGAUUUGUCUGGUUUAUUCCGAUAACGAACGAGACUCUGGCCUACUAACUAGUGACAGGAUUAUUGCUGUCCUGGUUACUUCUUAGAGGGACAAGUGGUGUUCAGCCACACGAAAUUGAGCAAUAACAGGUCUGUGAUGCCCUUAGAUGUCCGGGGCUGCACGCGUGCUACACUGGAGGAAACAGCAUGCAAAACCAUUGCCGAGAGGCAUUGGUAAACCCGAGAAAAUCUUCCGUGAUCGGGAUCGGGAAUUGCAAUUAUUUCCCUUGAACGAGGAAUUCCCAGUAAGUGUGGGUCAUCAGCUCGCGUUG